rnacentral:rRNA from 1 species
CGGCAGCCCGAGUGGUGAUCACUAUUAUUGGGUCUAAAGGGUCCGUAGCCGGUUUGAUCAGUCUUUUGGGAAAUCUGACAGCUUAACUGUUAGGCUUCCAAAGGAUACUGUCAGACUUGGGACCGGGAGAGGUAAGAGGUACUACAGGGGUAGGAGUGAAAUCUUGUAAUCCCAGAUAGACCACCUGUGGCGAAGGCGUCUGACCAGAACGGAUCCGACGGUGAGGGAUGAAAGCUGGGGGAGCAAACCGGAUUAGAUACCCGAGUAGUCC